rnacentral:rRNA from 1 species
CCUACGGGGAGCAGCAGUGGGGGAUAUUGCACAAUGGGGGGAACCCUGAUGCAGCGACGCCGCGUGUGGGAAGACGGUCCUCUGGAUUGUAAACCACUGUCCCCAGGGACGAAAAUGACGGUACCUGGGGAGGAAGCUCCGGCUAACUACGUGCCAGCAGCCGCGGUAAUACGUAGGGAGCGAGCGUUGUCCGGAAUUACUGGGUGUAAAGGGAGCGUAGGCGGGGAUGCAAGUUGGGUGUCAAAACUACCGGCUCAACUGGUAGUCGCACUCAAAACUGCAGCUCUUGAGUGAAGUAGAGGCAGGCGGAAUUCCUGGUGUAGCGGUGAAAUGCGUAGAUAUUAGGAAGAACACCGGUGGCGAAGGCGGCCUGCUGGGCUUUUACUGACGCUGAGGCUCGAAAGUGUGGGGAGCAAACAGGAUUAGAUACCCGGGUAGUC